CUCCCCCUCCUCCCUGAGCAUGUGGGUACGGAUGGAUGGCGCACAGGCCCGUCUGAAAGGACAAUAAAGCACAAAGACGCUGCCAAUCAUCGAAAUCCAGUCAUUGAAGUCCACAGAAACUCUCUCUCCCUGCUUUGAAUGGAGCCACCCUAAUAAAAGUUGAAAUGGAGGAAGAAGAUGGUACUUGUUUACUUGAUGUUUUAUGUGACCCUCAAGCCCUCAAUGACUUUCUUCAUGGGACAAAUGAGCUGCCAAGUGGAGACUUACUCAUUAAUUCAUCCUCUGGAGAGCCGUCACUCUUCACAGACACUCCAAGCCCUGCAUCUCUGUUAGCAGAUGAUGCUAGUUCUCAGGACACUCCUGUCUCUGGCUGUGUGGAUCUCUCCUUUCUGGAGGAGGCACUGCUGGCAUCACCGGGAUCCUCUCUGGGAAGUGGAGGUCCAGAGGCGCAAGAAGAUCCCAAUGUCCAACUAGUGGAACAGCAGAAAGAGUCAGAAGAGUUCUGUGACAUUCUCCAGCAGAGUCUCCAGGAGGCUGACAUCACUGAGGACACUCUCGCUUUUGAAGCAGGACUUGCCCAGACAGCAGAAACUCUCCAGCUUGGUUUGUCUGGCACAUCCCUUCCUUUGCCUGCAAUGCAAUAUUUCUCCAAACCACUGACCGCUCCUGGCUUGAUCUCUUUACCAAAGGCCACUCAACCUGCAGUGGAGCCUCCUCAGCCAUCUUUAUUAGCUGUUGGCCCAGGCUGUCCCUCACUCAAGCCUCCAGGAACCCAGUUAAUGAAUCUACUCCCUGGGAAUGUAUUCCCCACACCUCCACUUGAGGCAUCCUUUUCUAUUAAUUCAGCACAAAGCACCAGCAUGAUUAUCCAAAAGACCAUACCAAGCCUCACAAAUCACCAGGUGUUGGCCUCCACCGUUAGAACAAUUACCCCAUCAGGGGUCAUGUUACAAAAAACUCCUCUACCCAUUCAGCCUAAGUUCCCAGUCAACUUCCAACCCAGAUUUGUUCAGCUCAGUCCCAGGCCAGGAUUUGCCUUCAUCUCAACAAAUACAUCACAGAGUGUCUUGUUAUCCCCGUCUGUUGGCUCAAAACAGUCCUUACAAGAACAGUCCACACCAAGUGUCAGCAAACCUGUUAGCUUCAAUCUGGUUGGUCAGAGAGGCCCAAUUGUCAUUCAGCCCCAGGAUCCUUAUCAGGGCCAGAGACAAUUCUUUCUGCCAAGCCAAACACCUACAACUGUGUCCCAAUCUCCCAGCAUACCAAGGUGUAUUCUUAAAACACCAAGCAAUCAGGUGUCAAACAAACUCAAUGUUGACAGUUCUCAUAUAGUGACUGUACGACCAAGGCAAAUCAACUUCAGCCCGAUUUUCACCUCCCCACCUGGACAACUCACCCUCAAACAAGGGUCUCUUCUGACAGGGUCCUUACCAAUUCGGUCAACACCUCCUACAGUCUUCCAGAUGCCAACACAGCUAGCAGGGACCUAUGCACCUCAAGUGCAGGGGCAGCAUGAUGCGGUAGUUCAAAACAAUGUUGCAAACCAAAUCACACUGAUUAAUAAUGCCAGUAUGCUUAUUCCUGAUAUGACCACCAUACCAACAGUAAAUGGUCAGUCAGUGAUGCAAAGUCUGCCUUUGGUGCCUCAAAGUGCUCUAAUAGGGGGACCUGAGGGAAAGGUGUGUCGUACCCAGAAUUCCGUGCUUCUCUUGCCUGAGAGAACAACAGAUCAUCAACAGGAGAAUGUCAACAAACCGUUUCAAGAGAGCAGAUUGCUUCUGCCAACUUCAGUGGAAGCACCCCUUACUGAGACUCACUCUCUGCCCUCUCCAGUAUCAACUCUACUACAGUCAUCACCAGAUAUUAGUUGUGACCCUGACACAGUUUUGUCAUUAUCCCCACAACUGAUCACUCAGACAGGAGAAGAACAAUUUACUGAAGGAGAACAUAAUCUAUUGCAUCACAAUCAGGCUUUAGUACAUCCUCAACAACAGUGUCCAUUAAAACUGUCAGCCAGCCAAGAUUCGUUAGCUGCAACUCUACUUAUGCAAAUGGACAACCACAUCUCUUCUGCUGUAGGUGAAGCUGAGGAUUUGCUCACAUCCUUGACUACAUCUGAGACUUUAUCUUCACUUUGUAAGAGUGAAGAUAUCCUUAUGCCAGCAUACCAUGGUUCAGAACACACUGAUAUUCUAUUGCAAACUCCUAUUGGCCAGACCUCAGACACAGACAACAUGAAGGGCACAACACCCCCAGUCUCAGAUGAGCAGGAUUCCUCUAUGUUGAUUGGUCUUGAUGCUGAACCCAAGUGUCAGGAGGUGCCAGUAAAGAGUAAGAGAACUUCCUCUUCCUCAGAGAAGUUGUUUAUGUAUCCAGAGCAAUUGGGCCGAAGCCAUGUGUUAACUGAACUUAGCAGAACCCCAGAGUCAACAGCCCAUGUGUACAAGCAGCAGUAUUAUGAACAUGACACAGAGCUCACAGUCCUUAGGAACAGUGGGAUAAUCUCUUUGGAUCAGCAUCAGUCACAGGAGAAGGUACAUCUCGGGCCCAGACUGCUUGCCCAGGACAAGGAGACCUACUCGGCACUCCAGAAGAACCAGGUCCAGACUUCUACUGCAAGCGUGGAUCCAAAAGAGGAGAAGCUGAGACUAGCAAAGAGGCAACACAGGUUCAAACAGCAGAUGCUUUUGGACCACAAUGCUGUUCUCAACCCAAACACUUCAGCUCCGUUUGUUUCAGUGGAGGAUGCGUUGAGACAUUUGUUGCCAUACCAUUCUUGUGCUAGAUCUCUGCCCAGCCAGGCUGACUUUCACUCAGUGGACAAGCAGUUUGAGUGUGUUUCAGUUGUUCUGCUGAAACGAAUCAAAGACAUGCUGAACAAGUACAGGAAACAACUUCUGGCUGAAUCCCAGCAGGAGAGCCCAUCAGCAGAGAUGGUGAUGCUAGAGCGUUUGUUUCUCCAAUCAGAGAGAGUCUCUCUGGCAGAGGACAGACGCAGAGCCAGAAGAGAACCAGCAGAGUCCUUCCUCAAAUCCCGGACCAAGAAUUUAUCUCAGCACAACCAAGUCUCAUCAGUCCACACUGGCCUUGCAUCUCCACCAUCAUGGACCUUGCAAUCUGACAGACCUCCUGGCCUCAAGACAUAUCGCUCCAGCAGCAAAGGAGCAAUACGUCUCACUAUAAAACAUGAGUCAGGAUCCCGCAAAGUUAUCCACAACUCAUGUGGCGCCUCGCAUACCAUCUCUGGGAUUAAACGAAACUACAGCGGCCAGUUAACUAAGGGAGGUGCCAUUCACAGGAAAGAUGAAUCUCUUGAGCCUCCUUUGUCAAAUGUUGCAGAGAAUGAAAAUGAUCAAAGGUCAGAUCUGCAGAACAAGCUAAAAUUGUACCUUGACAUGGAAACACUAAGGACAGGUAGCGAUUCGCAGAACCUCUCAGAUUCUGUGUCCAGUCAAGACUAUGUAGCUCCAAGGGUGCAAGGCUUGCUCCCAGAGCAGUGCACUCCAGUGGUUAAAAGGAACAAGCUGGCUACUUCAGCAACAGUGUCUCCCAGUUUGCCUGCAUUGGUGGAAGACGGGGAACUGAGUGAACACCUGCAAAGUGCUUUGGACAGUAUCUUGGAGCUGCAAAGGUUGCAGGGUUCUUAAACCCAAGAUUCAACAGUCUUGUGCACUGGAGCAGGCCAUCAGCUGCAUGCCAGAAGGACAAUUUUGAGACAGAAGAGCUACACUCUAAAAAAUGCUGGGUUGUUUCAACCCAACUUUGGGUCAAUUAUGGACUAAGCCAACUGAUGGGUUAAAUUUUGUAAUUACAUUUUUAACCCAAAAGUUGGGUUAGUCCAUAUUUGACCCAAAGUUGGGUUGAAACAACCCAGCAUUUUUAAGAGUGUGUGUGGAAGGAAAAGCUUGGUUUGGUUUUCACAUCCUGCAAUCCAUAUCCAGCAGAGACUAAUAUUUAUUUAUUUUUUCCCGAGGAAGAAUGUCUUAUUAAUCAUUAUUAUUAUUGUGUAAAUAGAGUAAAUACAGUAUUGUUCAAAAUAAUAGCAGUACAAUGUGACUAACCAGAAUAAUCAAGGUUUUUAGUAUAUUUUUUAUUGCUACGUGGCAAACAAGUUACCAGUAGGUUCAGUAGAUUGUCAGAAAACAAACAAGACCCAGCAUUCAUGAUAUGCACGCUCUUAAGGUUGUGCAAUUGGGCAAUUAGUUGAAAGGGGUGUGUUCAAAAAAAUAGCAGUGUCUACCUUUGACUGUACAAACUCAAAACUAUUUUGUACAAACAUUUUUUUUUUUCUGGGAUUUAGCAAUCCUGUGAAUCACUAAACUAAUAUUUAGUUGUAUGACCACAGUUUUUUAAAACUGCUUGACAUCUGUGUGGCAUGGAGUCAACCAACUUGUGGCACCUCUCAGCUGUUAUUCCACUCCAUGAUUCUUUAACAACAUUCCACAAUUCAUUCACAUUUUUUGGUUUUGCUUCAGAAACAGCAUUUUUGAUAUCACCCCACAAGUUCUCAAUUGGAUUAAGGUCUGGAGAUUGGGCUGGCCACUCCAUAACAUUAAUUUUGUUGGUUUGGAACCAAGACUUUGCCCCUUUACUAGUGUGUUUUGGGUCAUUGUCUUGUUGAAACAACCAUUUCAAGGGCAUGUCCUCUUCAGCAUAGGGCAACAUGACCUCUUCAAGUAUUUUAACAUAUGCAAACUGAUCCAUGAUCCCUGGUAUGCGAUAAAUAGGUCCAACACCAUAGUAGGAGAAACAUGCCCAUAUCAUGAUGCUUGCACCUCCAUGCUUCACUGUCUUCACUGUGUACUGUGGCUUGAAUUCAGAGUUUGGGGGUCGUCUCACAAACUGCCUGUGGCCCUUGGACCCAAAAAGAACAAUUUUACUCUCAUCAGUCCACAAAAUGUUCCUCCAUUUCUCUUUAGGCCAGUUGAUGUGUUCUUUGGCAAAUUGUAACCUCUUCUGCACAUGCCUUUUUUUUUAACAGAGGGACUUUGCGGGGGAUUCUUGAAAAUAGAUUAGCUUCACACAGACGUCUUCUAACUGUCACAGUACUUACAGGUAACUCCAGACUGUCUUUGAUCAUCCUGGAGGUGAUCAUUGGCUGAGCCUUUGCCAUUCUGGUUAUUCUUCUAUCCAUUUUGAUGGUUGUCUUCCGUUUUCUUCCACGUCUCUCUGGUUUUGCUCCAUUUUAAGGCAUUGGAGAUCAUUUUAGCUGAACAGCCUAUCAUUUUUUGCACCUCUUUAUAGGUUUUCCCCUCUCUAAUCAACUUUUUAAUCAAAGUACGCUGUUCUUCUGAACAAUGUCUUGAACGACCCAUUUUCCUCAGCUUUCAAAUGCAUGUUCAACAAGUGUUGGCUUCAUCCUUAAAUAGGGGCCACCUGAUUCACACCUGUUUCUUCACAAAAUUGAUGACCUCAGUGAUUGAAUGCCACACUGCUAUUUUUUUGAACACACCCCUUUCAACUAAUUCAACUAAUUGCCCAAUUGCACAGCCUUAAGAGCGUGCAUAUCAUGAAUGCUGGGUCUCGUUUGUUUUCUGAGAA